AAAGUGACAUUAAUUAUAUUCUUUUAAUAAAUUGGAAGCUCUUUGCAAGAUUGUAAUUCAUCUAAACUCCUUGCACUCUGGCUUCAUUCCAUCUGUUUAUACCCGUUGCUCUGGAAAAUACUACAAAAGAGAAAAGUAAACAGCAUUUAGCCCAGAAGGCGGUUUCAGGUGUCACUGCCUAUAAAAUGUUAUUUAAGCAGCUUUUGAAGGAAUAAGAAGUCAGAGGUACCAGAGCAGGACACAAAAGACGUCUCGGGUUCUAACCUUCAAAAGAAAAAUAAAGCCUCAACAGAAAAGAAGAUGGGGUCUACAUUGUGGUUCAUUGGCUUCCUCCUUGCCCUAGGAGGGGCUCCUCUAUUCAGCAGAGAUUCUACUGGGGGUGCUCUGGCUGAUACUACGACCACCUCUCAGAAGAAUCCAACUAUGAAUCAAAGUCAAACCCAGACAAACAGCAGUCCUGCCCUCAGAGAAAUGGACGACCUCCCAUUGCUUUUCUUCAUGAUGCCUUUCUUGCUGCUUUGUGGGUUAGUGAGAUGAACUUUCUGCAGUUGGCCCAUUUGCUGCCAACUACAAAACAUGGAAAGCCCAGUGGGAAAGCAGCCUUCUGUACUGCAUCUCAAUUACUAAAGAAUGACCACCAUUAGGCUUUAAUUCAUGGUCUUUUAAUAUCUUGGUUAUUUCUGGAAGUUCAAUAACUUGAUGGUUUGUAGACAAAAUGUUCACUCAAUAAAAGUUUCUUGAAUGGA